UGAUGACUGGUGAUGACGAUGUUGGUAAUAACGGUAACAAGGAGGUGGUAAUCCUGACAUUAACCUUCUACUUCUCUUGCAGGUCCCAAUAACCAGUACUACAACAGAGUCUAUGACAUCCCUCAACCGUGUAAAAUGGACACACUCGGGUCACCAGAUAGCAGCUGGUGAUGAUGAUGGCAGAGUUCACAUAUUCGAUGUGGGAGAGCAACUUGCUGUACCUCGUCCAGAUGAAUGGAGUCGUCUACAGCAUACCUUGAUGGAUAUCCAAGCCAAUGCAUCGUCUUUCAGUGAGACUAUCGGAUCACCUCGAAUGUCACCUUCGAAGAUGCCAUUCUCCUAAGCAAUCAUUAGAUGGCAUCUGAAGUUUAGUUGAGAGAGGAAUCCUUUGACGUGGGAUAUUAUUAGGACCAUGUUUUUUAUCUUAAUGCUAUCCUUCAAGGUUGUAAUUGUAUUAUAGAUUUAUGUAUUGAAUUGACUGGGAAUUGAAUGAAAUGAUAAAUAUGGGUAAAGGUGAUAGAAUAUAGACCUUAUGAAAAACGAGUGUAAGACUGGGAACGAACACCACUAACAUGAACAAUUAAUGAUUUCAAAAAUAAUUUUCAUUACAGGAAAGACCAUGUCUAAAUUAGUAAUUUCGGAGAGUUGUGUUGUCAUAUAUUAAAUCCCUGAAGAGUUAUAAGCAUUUGAAAAGUACCGAGAACAUGAUAGCGAGGCUGGUAGGCCCGUAGUUGCUGCUUCCAUACAAACCUUUCUAAUUUCAAACAGCUGAAGAUCACUAAUUUGGAAAUACCCUUUCUAAUGAAAGCAUUGUUGUGUUCUAUAGCUGAUGAACUAAGGUAUCUCAAGGGGCACACCCUUUUUCAUAUGGUCUAUAGUCCACAGCCUAUAAACUAACCGAUGUGUAACAUCUAUACUAGUAAUAAUUAAGAGAAAACGUCCAAAUAUUGAGAUGGAUGUGUUUAUAAACAACCUCUUACUUUCUUGCUAGUUGGUUUUCCCUAUAAUGGGCCUUAUUCACGCGGCAGCCAUGUUGGAUUGAACAAUAGAUUCCAUCACGCGUAGCCUCAAAUUCAAGCGUUUGAGAAUUAAUUUAUGCUGGGGAAACAAAGGUUUUUUAUUCUCAUGAGAAUAAACAUGGCUGCCGUGUGAUAAAGGUCUAUUGGUGGUUUUCAUAGCCGCCAUGUUGGUUGAAUCAAACAAAAGAUUAGUCAUUCGUCUCUCUUGUCAUGUCCACCAACAUGGCCGCCAUGUCUGGUUAAUUCAUUCUCUUGGGAAUGAUCAAAAUAACAAAUAAAAUAUGUCCAAAACUAAGACAAAUCUGUGGUAUUUAUUUAGCUAGAAGAAGAAGAAGCUCAAUAAAUCUGAGAAAAAAUUG